rnacentral:lncRNA from 1 species
UUGUGUUCCUAAACUUUAGAACGACCGUUUAGGACAUAUUUGUUUGGAUGUAAGUGAUGUGAGAGUGAAGAGGAAAAAGUUAUUUUCGAUAACAAUGAUCACUUUUAUUGUUUGAUUCAUCGUAAAAAAGUUACGGUCGAAAUUUCAGUUAAUCUGAAAUGGCGUAAUUAGCUUCGGCUACUACGAAGAGAGAUAAAAAUAAUAAUAAAAUAAUAUAAUAGGUAAAGAUAGUUAGAUUUAAAUAUAUUUAAUUAUGAUACUAAUUACUCUUUUAUUCAGUUGGCAUAUUUAAAAUAGGAUAAAAGUUAAUUAAUUAAGUUUUAUUAUUUUCUUUAUUUAGUUUAUACAAUUAAAAUAUGAUAAAAAUUAAUUAAUUAAAUAUUAAUAUUUUUUUACUUUAUAAUUUUAUUGUUGUAUUACUAUAAAUUAUAUAUAAAAAAUAAUUUCAUUAUUUUAAAUUAAAUUUUAAUUAUAUAAAAAAUAUAAUUACAUUAUUUUUUUAUUAAAUUAUUUAUUGUUCAUACAUAAAUUAUAGUUUAUAUUAUACAUUUUCUGUCAAACAAAUAGCAAAAUUAAUAAAACUUCACUUUCAUAACUACGAAACAAACAGUGGACAAGAAAUAAUUUUCACCGAAUUCUAUUUUAACCUAAAUCCAGUUCAACCUCAAGUUUAAUUUUGGUAAAAUAAACAUGCCCUUAGAGGAAGCG